GGUUCGUUAGCUCAGUUGGUAGAGCACCAGGCUCCAUAUAUUUCACUGGUGGUCGUAGGUUCAAGUCCUACGCGGGCCU